GGUCAAGUGAAGAAGCGCAUACGGUGGAUGCCUUGGCAGUCAGAGGCGAUGAAAGACGUGGUAGCCUGCGAAAAGCUUCGGGGAGUCGGCAAACAGACUGUGAUCCGGAGAUGUCUGAAUGGGGGAACCCAGCCAUCAUAAGAUGGUUAUCUUGUACUGAAUACAUAGGUGCAAGAGGCGAACCAGGGGAACUGAAACAUCUAAGUACCCUGAGGAAAAGAAAUCAACCGAGAUUCCCUUAGUAGUGGCGAGCGAACGGGGACUAGCCCUUAAGUGGCUUUGAGAUUAGCGGAACGCUCUGGAAAGGGCGGCCAUAGUGGGUGAUAGCCCUGUACGCGAAAAUCUCUUGUCAUGAAAUCGAGUAGGACGGAGCACGAGAAACUUUGUCUGAAUAUGGGGGGACCAUCCUCCAAGGCUAAAUACUACUGACUGACCGAUAGUGAACUAGUACCGUGAGGGAAAGGCGAAAAGAACCCCGGAGAGGGGAGUGAAAUAGAUCCUGAAACCGUAUGCGUACAGCAUGGGAGCCCACUUUGUUGGGUGACUGCGUACCUUUGUAUAAUGGGUCAGCGACUUAUUUUCAGUGGCGAGCUUAACCGAAUAGGGGAGGCGUAGCGAAAGCGAGUCUUAAUAGGGCGUCUAGUCGCUGGGAAUAGACCCGAAACCGGGCGAUCUAUCCAUGGGCAGGUUGAAGGUUGGGUAACACUAACUGGAGGACCGAACCGACUACCGUUGAAAAGUUAGCGGAUGACCUGUGGAUCGGAGUGAAAGGCUAAUCAAGCUCGGAGAUAGCUGGUUCUCCUCGAAAGCUAUUUAGGUAGCGCCUCAUGUAUCACUGUAGGGGGUAGAGCACUGUUUCGGCUAGGGGGUCAUCCCGACUUACCAAACCGAUGCAAACUCCGAAUACCUACAAGUGCCGAGCAUGGGAGACACACGGCGGGUGCUAACGUCCGUCGUGAAAAGGGAAACAACCCAGACCGUCAGCUAAGGUCCCAAAGUUAUGGUUAAGUGGGAAACGAUGUGGGAAGGCUUAGACAGCUAGGAGGUUGGCUUAGAAGCAGCCACCCUUUAAAGAAAGCGUAAUAGCUCACUAGUCGAGUCGGCCUGCGCGGAAGAUGUAACGGGGCUCAAACCAUACACCGAAGCUACGGGUAUCACUUAGGUGAUGCGGUAGAGGAGCGUUCUGUAAGCCUGUGAAGGUGAGUUGAGAAGCUUGCUGGAGGUAUCAGAAGUGCGAAUGCUGACAUGAGUAACGACAAUGGGUGUGAAAAACACCCACGCCGAAAGACCAAGGUUUCCUGCGCAACGUUAAUCGACGCAGGGUUAGUCGGUCCCUAAGGCGAGGCUGAAAAGCGUAGUCGAUGGAAAAACAGGUUAAUAUUCCUGUACUUUGGUAUUGCGAUGGAGGGACGGAGAAGGCUAGGCCAGCUUGGCGUUGGUUGUCCAAGUUUAAGGUGGUAGGCUGGAAUCUUAGGUAAAUCCGGGAUUCUAAGGCCGAGAGCUGAUGACGAGUUACCCUUUGGGUGACGAAGUGGUUGAUGCCAUGCUUCCAAGAAAAGCUUCUAAGCUUCAGGUAACCAGGAACCGUACCCCAAACCGACACAGGUGGUUGGGUAGAGAAUACCAAGGCGCUUGAGAGAACUCGGGUGAAGGAACUAGGCAAAAUGGCACCGUAACUUCGGGAGAAGGUGCGCCGGUGAGGGUGAAGCACUUGCUGCGUAAGCCCACGCCGGUCGAAGAUACCAGGCCGCUGCGACUGUUUAUUAAAAACACAGCACUCUGCAAACACGAAAGUGGACGUAUAGGGUGUGACGCCUGCCCGGUGCCGGAAGGUUAAUUGAUGGGGUUAGCUAACGCGAAGCUCUUGAUCGAAGCCCCGGUAAACGGCGGCCGUAACUAUAACGGUCCUAAGGUAGCGAAAUUCCUUGUCGGGUAAGUUCCGACCUGCACGAAUGGCGUAACGAUGGCGGCGCUGUCUCCACCCGAGACUCAGUGAAAUUGAAAUCGCUGUGAAGAUGCAGUGUAUCCGCGGCUAGACGGAAAGACCCCGUGAACCUUUACUAUAGCUUUGCACUGGACUUUGAAUUUGCUUGUGUAGGAUAGGUGGGAGGCUUUGAAGCGUGGACGCCAGUUCGCGUGGAGCCAACCUUGAAAUACCACCCUGGCAACUUUGAGGUUCUAACUCAGGUCCGUUAUCCGGAUCGAGGACAGUGUAUGGUGGGUAGUUUGACUGGGGCGGUCUCCUCCUAAAGAGUAACGGAGGAGUACGAAGGUGCGCUCAGACCGGUCGGAAAUCGGUCGUAGAGUAUAAAGGCAAAAGCGCGCUUGACUGCGAGACAGACACGUCGAGCAGGUACGAAAGUAGGUCUUAGUGAUCCGGUGGUUCUGUAUGGAAGGGCCAUCGCUCAACGGAUAAAAGGUACUCCGGGGAUAACAGGCUGAUACCGCCCAAGAGUUCAUAUCGACGGCGGUGUUUGGCACCUCGAUGUCGGCUCAUCACAUCCUGGGGCUGAAGCCGGUCCCAAGGGUAUGGCUGUUCGCCAUUUAAAGUGGUACGCGAGCUGGGUUUAGAACGUCGUGAGACAGUUCGGUCCCUAUCUGCCGUGGACGUUUGAGAUUUGAGAGGGGCUGCUCCUAGUACGAGAGGACCGGAGUGGACGAACCUCUGGUGUUCCGGUUGUCACGCCAGUGGCAUUGCCGGGUAGCUAUGUUCGGAAAAGAUAACCGCUGAAAGCAUCUAAGCGGGAAACUUGCCUCAAGAUGAGAUCUCACUGGGACCUUGAGUCCCCUGAAGGGCCGUCGAAGACUACGACGUUGAUAGGUGGGGUGUGUAAGCGCUGUGAGGCGUUGAGCUAACCCAUACUAAUUGCCCGUGAGGCUUGACCAU
rnacentral:rRNA from 1 species